ensembl:lncRNA
AGCUGCGCUCUCUCUGGUUCUGCCUAGCGGGAAGUCUGGUGUAGAAGAAGCAAUCACCAGAAUAAAGGUGUCUGGGGUGGCCUUUGCUCUACACGGGACAGCCCAAGGCUCAGGCAGGAGCUUAGUCCAGAGGCUGGAACCUGAGGACAGAGUGGACUGCCAGAAUCCAUGGAUUGAACCAAGGAUGGGAGACAACACUAACACUGAGUCUCUUAGCUAUGGUGCCAGAAGCUCUGAGAGGCACCAAUCACAAGCCCACUCUUGUGGCUCACUUAGGAGUGGAAGCCCUCCUCCUGUGAAGCCUAAUGAGAGUCUCUCUCUGACCUCUGAGUAUCCAUGUGCUCCCUGGGCAGGAGACAAGCAAGGGGAAGUUCUAUUUCUGCCUCUUCCUAGUUAUAUAGCUCUGAACAAGUCAGAAGAGAGCCAAAGAACUGACCAGAGUCAUCAUCAGCUCUAAUAGGGCUGCUCCAUGCAGGCACUGGCACAGGAACUCAGUUACUUCAACUGUGGGCAUUAUUUAUCCCGUCUGCUCCAAUCCCAGGAGCAAUGCUCCAAAUGAUCUCAGGGACUAUCCUGAAUGCAUCUAGGGAUAAGCGUGUUUGGGAAAUUGGACCUCUCUACAGCUCUGCCCCGGCUCAGGCCAGAUCCUAAGUAGUGGGGGUGGCCAUGCAGGUGGACUGGGGGCUGCUGUGGGCUAGCAUCUAACUAAGAAGAGGCCUGUGGAGGUGGGAAGCUGGCUCCAUGUCUCCCAAGUGGGAGCUUGCCUGGAUCUCAGACAGUCCUGCCUUUCUGGUUUGGGCUUCCCGGCUUUUGCUGCUGUCCUCCGGGGCAAGCUAUUUUAGGUAGCAGUCAAAAUAAAACUGAGAUUAACCCAGAAUUCUUGGCAGUCAAACAAUACCAUAAUUAUGUGCUUUUUAAGUUCAGAAAUGAGGCAUCUGGCACUGACCCACCAGGGUUUGGGGGGCGCCUUGAGGAUAAUAAGGCCUGCGUCUUGGGCCCUGUCACCUUUACACAUCCUUAGUCAUGGGCAACCACUAUAGAACCAUAGCUCUCUUCGAGGUGUUACUUUUGUCUCCAGAGACUCAUAUUGCCAGAAGAAUGGUGUAACUUGCUU